GGCUCGAUAGCUCAGUCGGUAGAGCAAGGGACUGAAAAUCCCUGUGUCGGCGGUUCGAUUCCGUCUCGAGCCA
rfam:Virgibacillus chiguensis strain CGMCC 1.6496 genome assembly, contig: Ga0104465_123